GAGAUUAGCUCAGUGUUAGAGUACCUGUUUAGCACACAUGAGGCCCUGGGUUCAAUCCCCAGCAAUCCCC
rnacentral:tRNA from 1 species